AAGAACCUCUCAGUUUCCUUCUUUGUAACGGUGGGAACAUUCCCCGUCCCCCCAUUCCUGUUUCCGUUCCUGCAGGAUUUGACCAUGGUUUCGAAACGGUUGAUGCUUAGCAAGGUUUUGGAAAUGCUCCUGAGGCCACCUCAGUCACCGUUGGAGAACGGUCCCGUGAAGACCGCUGUCGGGAUAUUAUCGAAUCUGUCGUGAAACUGCGGUGUGGAGUAUUUUCGUGUCACGCAUAAGUUUAGGUACACGUGCGUGCGUACGGGGCGAAGUAAAAAUAGUACCAAAAUUAAUCCAAGUUUCAACGGAAAACGAAAAAAGUGAAUGCAUGUCGCAUUUGACAUGAAAAAAAUGCUUUAAAGUGCGACUGUUGGAAGUGAAAUAUCAAAUCUGACGUGUUAAAGUCAGCCCCGAAAAUGGUAUCAUAAAUUAUCACAGCGCCAAAAAGUGAUUAAUCUGGUAAAGUUGACAGGCACACGUACAUAUAUGUGUCUGGAAGAAGGAGCGUCGGCAGUAAAGAAAAAAAAAUAAGGCAGCAGCAGUGAUUGCGAAUGAG